ACUUCACCAAGACGAGAUACAACCCGAUGGUGCCCUCUAUUUGAGAGCAUCGUCUCCAAAAUUAAAACGAUAAUGCCUUGUAUGCAACAACACCGCAGUCUGUACGAGCUCCAAUGAACUUCAAGAGGUGAAACCUCAGUUGCAAAGCCGGAUAGCAAGGGAAAGAACUUACUUGAAACCUAAGCAGUCGAGGUGAAACCUCAGUUGCAAAGCCGGAUAGCAAGGGAAAGAACUUACUUGAAACCUAAGCAGUCGAGGUG